CGAAUCGGAUAGUGCGGGAAACCGCAUGAAACUCGCCUGUAAUGCCGGCAUCACCUUCGGGUGACGGCGACUUUUUUCAAAUGCCGCACUUUGCGGCACUUCA
ncrna:unclassified sequences DTF3577 RNA